UACGUAGGGCGCAAGCGUUGUCCGGAAUUAUUGGGCGUAAAGAGCUCGUAGGCGGCUUGUCACGUCGGGUGUGAAAGCCCGGGGCUUAACCCCGGGUCUGCAUUCGAUACGGGCUAGCUAGAGUGUGGUAGGGGAGAUCGGAAUUCCUGGUGUAGCGGUGAAAUGCGUAGAUAUCGGGAGGAACACCCGUGGCGAAGGCGGCCCCCUGGUUGGAUACUGACGCUGAUACGCGAAAGCGUGGGGAGCAAACAGG
rnacentral:rRNA from 1 species